rnacentral:rRNA from 1 species
UUUCCGGUUGAUCCUGCCGGAGGCCACUGCUAUGGGAGUCCGACUAAGCCAUGCGAGUCAAGGGGGGCUUUGCCCACCGGCGGACGGCUCAGUAACACGUGGACAACCUACCCUCGGGAGGGGGAUAACCCCGGGAAACUGGGGCUAAACCCCCAUAGGCCAUGGGUGCUGGAAAGCCCUGUGGCCGAAAUUCCGCAAGGAGCCCGAGGAUGGGUCUGCGGCCUAUCAGGUUGUAGUGGGGGUAACGGCCCCACUAGCCUACGACGGGUACGGGCCCUGAGAGGGGGAGCCCGGAGAUGGACUCUGAGACACGAGUCCAGGCCCUACAGGGCGCAGCAGGCGCGAAACCUUCGCAAUGCGGGAAACCGCGACGAGGGGACUCCCAGUGCCUACGCUCAGCGUAGGCUGUUCCCGAGCCUAGAAAGCUCGGGGAGUAAGGGCUGGGUAAGACGGGUGCCAGCCGCCGCGGUAAUACCCGCAGCCCGAGUGGUGGCCACUAUUAUUGGGCCUAAAGCGUCCGUAGCCGGCCCGGUAAAUGCCUGGGUAAAUCGUGAGGCCUAACCUCACGAAUUCCGGGUAGACUGCCGGGCUAGGGACCGGAGGAGGGAGAGGGUACUCCAGGGGUAGGGGUGAAAUCCUGUAAUCCCUGGAGGACCACCGGUGGCGGAGGCGCUCUCCUAGGACGGGUCCGACGGUGAGGGACGAAAGCCAGGGGAGCGAACCGGAUUAGAUACCCGGGUAGUCCUGGCCGUAAACGAUGUGGGCUUGGUAUUGGGAUGGCCAUGAGCUGUCCCAGUGCCGUAGGGAAGCCGUUAAGCCCACCGCCUGGGGAGUACGGUCGCAAGGCUGAAACUUAAAGGAAUUGGCGGGGGAGCACUGCAACGGGAGGAGCGUGCGGUUUAAUUGGAUUCAACGCCGGGA